rnacentral:tRNA from 1 species
GCCGGUAAGUUGGACUGGCCCAAGACUUGGUAUUCUUGGAGCCGAGGGUUCGAUCCCCUCUACCGGCU